UUGAGUCUUUAUAGUUUUAAAACAGUUGGCUUAUUGGCUGCUCUACGUGCCUCUCUUUUGUUACUGGUAAGCCAUUUUUUUUGUCUUUCCAGCAAGCAAAAAUGAUACAUAAAUCUUAGAAUCAUGACAACUUAUUUAACUUUUCAUAUUUGGCAGUGUAGGCAUGUACUAUAAACACUACUUAAAUAUCUUUCUUUGAUUUCAGCAUUUUAGUGACAUCACAUCUUUGUACAACCUAAAUCCUCCUGCUCCACCAGAAGUAGAAGUAAAAUGUGCAUCACCCCCAAAAAACUGGAAUAGCUUCAACACACUCUAUCCAAGUUAUGAUCAGUAUUAUCAGUCUUUAGAGCUGCAUGAUAAAGGUACAAAACAGCACAGGUAGUACUGCCACAAUAUGUCUACUUUGAGACCAGGUGAAAAUCAAAGAGUAUUGGACUCUUAAUUGUCUAAUCCUGCAAAGAUCUAUCACUGAGGGGAUACAGAUUAUAAUUUAAAUGCUCAGUGGUAUCUUGUUUUUUCUGAAAAAGGUUAGAUAAAUAUGCUAAUUUCUUAUUCUCCAAACAAAAUGGUUCAAAUUUUUCUCCACCAGGUCUAUCUAAUGUGAAUCCUGAAGCCAUGAUCCCACCAUUAAAUCAUCAUGAGGAUUUUAUUAACUCUGACCUUUCAAGUUAUAUGCAAAAGAAGUCAUGUUCUUCAGAUGUAGUUGUGGGGAAGAAGCAGGACUUCUUUGUUGUGCCAAAGGAUUAUGAAGAUUCUGCUCAUCCAGAUGUUAAGGAUUCUGUUUAUGUUCAACGACAGCCCUUCAUGAUGUGCUCUAGCUCUGAUCAUUAUUCCAAAAAUUCUGAAGAGGAUUUCCUUGCAACUUUCAGUGAAUAUGCAUCUCCAGAGAGAUCUAAGAGUUUUCUAGAAGAAUUUAGAGGUGUGACAUCUAGGAGCCCAGAAAUUCUAAUUGACAAGACCCUUUGGAAUGACUGUUCAUCCACUUACACAUAUGAUUCAUUUGCCCCUGUUGAUCCAGAUGAGCUUCAAAGUCCAAACUUUCACCAAACACCUAGAGAAUCUUCAGGAAGGAGAAAAAAUUGUGCAUCAUUACUAUGGACAGAAGAAAAAAAUGUGACAGAUUUAGGAUUUGCAGAAGUACCACAGGGCAAAAAAAGGAGACUGACAUUUGAAAGAGUCCCUGGAAGACGUGAUGGACAAACACGUCUUAAAUUCUUUUGAGUGGAGUGAGGAGCUGCAUACCAUCAAUACUUUUUUAAAUUUUUAAAACAUUUAUAGCAAAAUCGAUUAAAUUCAGUUCUUUGUUCAUUUUUAAAGAAAAAUUGGGGUUGAGGAAGAGUGUUGGCAAUUUGCUCAUUAAGGACUUUUAUAUAUGUUUAAAAUUUUACUAACAAAGGUGUUCCCUGAACCUGGAGAAUUUAUUGCUUUUCUGUUUGUUCUUAUAAGUCAUAUAAG
rnacentral:lncRNA from 1 species